UUGGCCGGAGCUGCAGUACUCGCGCUCGCCUCGCCGACCGCCAUUUCACAUCCUGUGAAGGAGGGGGGGUGCCGGGGGGGCCGUGGAGACGAUUUUUCACAAGUGAGUCUGCUGGCUUGGCUACACAAGUUCUCUUCGGGUCAGCUGUUUUCCACAACCGUGUUUAGAAAUUGUCUGUGUUCUAGGAGCCCAUUGAGAAUGAGCAUCUUGUUUUGAAAAUCAUUUUGAAGCUAGAGUGGAGGGAAUUUAAGUUAUAAAUGAGAGGAAUGAAAGUUUCCCAUUUGUUCGGCACAGAACCCGGUCUGCCUCCUCCUUUGAACUCCUUGCUAACCAUGAAGGCAUGCUUCAGAGAGCCAUCCUCGUUAACAUUCCAGGUCCCUCUUCCCUGUCAGCAAUAAACAAGCCCCACAUCAAUGGCCUCCUUCCUUCCAGAUUUACAAAUGAGUGGCUCAGUUCCAUGUUUUACUGCGGAUCCAGGUGCCCAGGCAUACAAGGCUGGGCUAAGAAGCACGCAGGAGAGACUAAAAAUAGAACAGCACUUUUGGACGCAUACCAGAGCAGCUACUUCAUCUCAACUUGCUUUGCACACUAAGCCUAAUGGAAUCCAUCAGGCAGGAGUUCUCUCCUGCUCUCUCUUACCGCCUUUCUCCUCUCUCCCCAGCUGCCUUCUACCAUCAGCGCCUUCCUGGUGAAGGGAGCAAAGGGAGGUCAGGCAGGGGACAAGAAAUGUGUGCCCUCAUGGUUUUAGUUUACAAGCCCUGAGAGACCUGGGGGCUGUGAUUACUCCUUCUUUGGGAGAAUUUCUAGAAAAGAGCAGGCAGACCCAGCACACGGUCAUGUUUGCCCAGGCACACUUUGGUCCAAGACUGUGUUUAGCAGAGGCUCAAAUAGCACUUCCUAAUCUCUCAAAUAAAUGUGACCUAGACCCAUACUCACAGGUUCCUUGAGAAGUUAAAUAGAAAACUUGACUACACUGACUAUUCCUCUUAAAGGUUCCACCUGCUGGGAUUGAGGCUAAGAACUUGAGAGCAAAUACACAGUCACAGAUGGAGGGACUGCCUAGGGUCUGUGAAAGCCACCCUCCUCCCACCAAGUAUUCUGAAGCUAUCUUGAAAGCCUUUUCUAAUAGAAAGUGGAAAAAUCAGUAUGAAGUCAGCAACAUACUACUAUCCUGCCUAGGCACAAGGUCUCCCAGAAUGCCAACUGUACUGAAUAAGCAAGGCUUCUUUGUACUGUGGAUACACCUCAUGAUAAAGGAUACUGUUCACCGGAAGGAGACUUGGCAUGACCUGAGUAUUUCUUCUUUCUGUCUGAAAGGUAAUGCCGAUGUUCCAAGCAGCUAUGUAUUAUUCCAACAAGUGUCACCUUUGUAGAGUCAGAAGUAUGAGAAAGAUGAGUAUCACAGUACUUAAAAAAUAAACCCCUUUUUCAUUGUUGUUGUUUUGGAGAUUGACCAGAUAAAUCUUUAAAAAAUUGAUCUAAAUAAUCCAGCAGGUCCAGAGGCUGAGGCAGGAGGAUCUC